AAAUAGUUAAGGGAAGUUUUCACAUAUAAACAGACGCCUCCCCCUGUUCUAGAACGAUCGAUCCUAAUAAGAUCAUAAUUACUUAUAUACAUAUCCUGGUCAUUAAUAGUAUCAUCCAAUCUUGUCUCAUUUAAUGCAAGAAUAUCGAGACAUUCAUCGGCUAAUAUGAUCCUAAUUUCGUCAAUAUGCUUAGGUAAACUGGUUAUAUUAAGCAUACCCAUUUUGAAACCCUUGAAAUCAGGGAAAUAUGGGUUAAAUUGAGCAUACCUUACAGCACCUGGCCAUGCCUUAUUUCAAUUACGACUAAAGUGAUUACUAUAAUUUCUAGUAAUAGUGCUACUAUACCCUUUCUAUUUAAAUGUAGGCCACCUCUAUUUAGGCAAGUAUAAUCUAAAUUAGUGUUGUCUAUAUAGGUCCAUUUGUUUUGGUCAGAGACCCGUUUAAGAAUGUCAUUUACAGUUUUAAUUUUGUUCUGGAUAUUAGCUUUAUCUUUCCUGGUAAUAAUGCCCGAUAUACAUACGUUAGUGCAUGGUAGACUAUCCUUUAUUUGGGUUCCGAGGUUUAAGAUACCCGCAGCAACUACUUCUGCCGUCUUGGAGUUAUCUUUAAUAUUGUUAGUGCCUACAUGCAAUAUUAUCUCGUCGGGCUUUUUGCGUAGUAAUGGUUUUAUGUAAUCUUGCAUAUCUUCAGCUUUACUCCCUGAAAAGGACUUUACAGAUACACGUUGUUUAUCGUUAGACAA